rnacentral:rRNA from 1 species
UGCCAGCCGCCGCGGUAAUACAUAGGGGUCAAGCGUUGUCCGGAUUUAUCGGGCGUAAAGCGCGCGUAGGCGGUUUGAUAAGCUGGAUGUGAAAGCCCCGGGCUCAACCUGGGAACUGCAUCCAGAACUGUCUGACUAGAAUACAAUAGAGGUGAGUGGAAUUUCCUGUGUAGCGGUGAAAUGCGUAGAUAUAGGAAGGAACAUCAGUGGCGAAGGCGACUCACUGGAUUGAUAUUGACGCUAAGGUGCGAAAGCGUGGGGAGCGAACAGGAUUAGAUA